rnacentral:rRNA from 1 species
UGAGGAAUAUUGGUCAAUGGGCGUAAGCCUGAACCAGCCAAGUAGCGUGAAGGAUGAAGGCUCUAUGGGUCGUAAACUUCUUUUAUAAGGGAAUAAAGUGGAGAACGUGUUCUCCUUUGUAUGUACCUUACGAAUAAGGAUCGGCUAACUCCGUGCCAGCAGCCGCGGUAAUACGGAUGAUCCGAGCGUUAUCCGGAUUUAUUGGGUUUAAAGGGAGCGUAGGUGGAUAGUUAAGUCAGUUGUGAAAGUUUGCGGCUCAACCGUAAAAUUGCAGUUGAUACUGGCUAUCUUGAGUACAGUAGAGGUGGGCGGAAUUCGUGGUGUAGCGGUGAAAUGCUUAGAUAUCACGAAGAACUCCAAUUGCGAAGGCAGCUCACUAGACUGGUCACUGACACUGAGGCUCGAAAGUGUGGGUAUCAAACA